rnacentral:piRNA from 1 species
UCCUGAGCGACCUGCUUGUUUCUUCUUUGC